GAGGAGGGGCUCGGGCCGCCAUGGACGACAAGGCGUUCACCAAGGAGCUGGACCAGUGGGUCGAGCAGCUGAACGAGUGUAAACAGCUCAACGAGAACCAAGUGCGGACGCUGUGCGAGAAGGCGAAGGAAAUUUUAACAAAAGAAUCAAAUGUGCAAGAGGUCCGUUGUCCUGUUACAGUCUGUGGAGAUGUGCACGGUCAAUUCCAUGAUCUUAUGGAACUCUUUAGAAUUGGUGGGAAGUCACCAGAUACAAACUAUCUAUUCAUGGGUGACUAUGUAGACAGAGGUUAUUAUUCUGUGGAGACUGUGACUCUUCUUGUGGCAUUAAAGGUGCGUUAUCCAGAACGCAUUACAAUAUUGAGAGGAAACCACGAAAGCCGACAAAUUACCCAAGUGUAUGGCUUUUAUGAUGAAUGUCUGAGAAAGUAUGGAAAUGCCAAUGUUUGGAAAUAUUUUACAGAUCUAUUUGAUUAUCUGCCACUUACAGCUUUAGUAGAUGGACAGAUAUUCUGCCUCCAUGGUGGCCUCUCUCCUUCCAUAGAUACACUGGAUCAUAUAAGAGCCCUGGAUCGUUUACAAGAAGUUCCACAUGAGGGCCCAAUGUGUGACCUGUUAUGGUCAGAUCCAGAUGAUCGUGGUGGGUGGGGUAUUUCACCACGCGGUGCUGGCUACACAUUUGGACAAGAUAUCUCUGAAACAUUUAACCAUGCCAAUGGUCUCACACUGGUUUCUCGUGCUCACCAACUUGUAAUGGAGGGAUACAAUUGGUGCCACGAUCGGAAUGUGGUUACCAUUUUCAGUGCACCUAAUUACUGUUAUCGUUGUGGGAACCAGGCUGCUAUCAUGGAAUUAGAUGACACUUUGAAAUAUUCCUUAACACUCCACUCGGCAUCAGCAGAGCACAGUCUUCUCAGAUGCACAUGGAACGUUCUCCAGCACUGACUGUGUGCUUGGCUAUACCCCAAGCCCCAGUAAAUUUAAGAAGAUUGGAAUCAUAAACCCUUCAGUUUGACCCGGCACCUCGUCGUGGAGAGCCUCAUGUGACCCGGCGCACCCCAGACUACUUCUUGUAAAUUCCUCCUGGGAAAACCUGUCUUUGUAUGUGGAAGUGUACCUGGCUUUUUUAAAUAUAUAUAUAUAUAUAUAUUUAAAAAAGAAAACAAAAAAAGCAACAGUAAUGUAUGUGUUUCUGUAACAAACUGGGGUCUGUCUUGGCAUAAACCAUAUCAUGGACCAAACGUGCCAUACUAAUGAUGAGCAUUUAGCACAACUUGAGACUGAGAUUAGUUCAACACUAUGUUCUAGAUCGGUCGGUCUUAACAGUUUGCCUGCUGUAUUUGUAGUAACCAUUUUCCUCCGGACUGUUCAAGCAAAAAAGGUAACUAACUCCAUCUCCUUUUGCACUUAUUUGGAAAUUUUAGUUAGACUGUUUAACUGGCAUGGAUUAAUAGGGUUGGAUUUUUAUUUUUAAGAAAAAUUCACAAGCUAACUUCCACUUAAUUCAUUACCAUUUAUUUUAUUGAAAUGUAUAACUGAGAAAAAGAUUCUUGGGAGUAUGUUGUCAUAACAUUUAAAGAGAUUUCCCUUCAUUUAAACUAAAUUACUGUUUUUUGUUGAUCUGCAUAUUUCUGUAUAUUUGUCAUGACAGUGCUUGCAUUCUACUUGGUGUACUGAGCAAAUAAACUUUCCAUUUUAAACAAAAA